rnacentral:lncRNA from 1 species
AUGUCGGAAAGUCACCCAAAACAUCCACUGAGUGAGGAUCGAGCCACCGGAUAGCAGUAAAACCCUAGGUUCAACCACCAGAAACCCUAGAAUCUGUAGAGUCACCGGGAAAUCACCCAAAACGUUCGAGUGAAGAAGAUAUACCCAGAGAUCACGAUGAAAGUCUCAGAUCAACAUCCGAUUUAGAUUGGAAUCGUCAUCGACCAAAUACGUCAGAAACACCCCCAAAAAUUUCAAACGAGACUUCAACCAAGAUAACAAGAUGCAGAAAAGUAUAGUCGGAUCAUCGUCUAGGCUCUGAUACCAUGAAAACAUCAAAAAAUCUAGACGAAAUCAAAGAACAAGAUGAGAGAGAGACGGUUAGGUAGAAGCUUCCAGAGAGCUCUCAGAGAGAGAGAAAUAAUAUUGAUUCACAAAUGGAAAAU